rnacentral:rRNA from 1 species
AAGACUAUUAUCACCAUCGCACAGAAGGUGGAUAUAAGGAGAAUCCCCAGUGCGUAUGUAAUGCAUACGCUUUUGCCAAGGGUAAAUAGCUUGGCGAAUAAGUGGGGGGUAAGACUGGGGCCAGCCGCCGCGGUAACACCAGCGCCACGAGUGGUAACCGCGAUUAUUGGGCCUAAAGCGUCCGUAGCCGGUUCAGCAAAUCCUUUGUGAAAUUGUCUGGCUCAACCAUACAACGGGCAAGGGACACUACUGAACUCGAGACCGGGAGGAGUCAGAAGUAUUCCAGAGGGAGCGGUAAAAUGUUAUAAUCUCUGGAGGAUUACCUGUGGCGAAGGCGUCUGACCAGAACGGAUCUGACGGUGAGGGACGAAAGCCAGGGGAGCGAACCGGAUUAGAUACCCGAGUAGUCCUGGCCGUAAACGCUGUGAGCUAGGUGUUGCACCAGCGACCUGUUGGGGCAGUGUCGAAAGGAAGCUGUUAAGCUCACCGCCUGGGAAGUACGGUCGCAAGAUUGAAACUUAAAGGAAUUGGGGGGGGAAAGGGCGAAUUCGUUUAAACCUGCGGGACUAGUCCCUUUAGUGAGGGUUAAUUCUGAGCUUGGCGUAAUCAUGGUCAUAGCGGGUUUCCGGGAG